rnacentral:rRNA from 1 species
CCCGGGUAGUCCAGGGCGCAAACGCUGCCUGCUUGAUGUUAGCUGGGCUCCGAGCCCAGCUAGUGUCGGAGCGAAGGUGUUAAGCAGGCUGCCUGGGAAGUACGGUCGCAAGACUGAAACUUAAGGGAAUUGGCGGGGGAGCACAGCAACGGGUGGAGCGUGCGGUUUAAUUGGAUUCAACGCCGGAAACCUCACCGGGGGCGACGGUUACAUGAAGGCCAGGCUGAUGACCUUGCCUGAUUUUCCGAGAGGUGGUGCAUGGCCGCCGUCAGUUCGUACCGUAAGGCGUUCUGUUAAGUCAGACAACGAACGAGACCCUCAUCCCUAAUUGCUACUUGUCUCUCCGGAGGCAAGGCACAUUAGGGAGACCGCUGGCGAUAAGCCAGAGGAAGGCGAGGGCAACGGUAGGUCAGUAUGCCCUGAAUCCCCCGGGCUACACGCGCGCUACAAAGGCCAGGACAAUGGGUUCCGACACCGAAAGGUGAAGGUAAUCCCGAAACCUGGUCAUAGUUCGGAUCGAGGGUUGAAACUCACCCUCGUGAAGCUGGAAUUCCGUAGUAAUCGCGGAUUCAACAUUCCGCGNGAAUAGCCCUUCUCUGGGGGCCGG